GGCCCACCAAGGCGACGAUCCGUAGCUGGUCUGAGAGGAUGAUCAGCCACACUGGAACUGAGACACGGUCCAGACUCCUACGGGAGGCAGCAGUGGGGAAUAUUGGACAAUGGGCGCAAGCCUGAUCCAGCCAUGCCGCGUGUGUGAAGAAG
rnacentral:rRNA from 1 species